rnacentral:rRNA from 1 species
UACGUAGGGUGCGAGCGUUGUCCGGAAUUAUUGGGCGUAAAGAGCUCGUAGGCGGUUUGUCACGUCUGCUGUGAAAAUCCCGAGGCUCAACCUCGGGCCUGCAGUGGGUACGGGCAGACUGGAGUGCGGUAGGGGAGAAUGGAAUUCCUGGUGUAGCGGUGAAAUGCGCAGAUAUCAGGAGGAACACCGGUGGCGAAGGCGGGUCUCUGGGCCGAUACUGACGCUGAGGAGCGAAAGCGUGGGGAGCAAACAGG